rnacentral:rRNA from 1 species
CCUACGGGAGGCAGCAGUGAGGAAUAUUGGGCAAUGGACGAGAGUCUGAACCAGUCAAGUAGCGUGAAGGAUGACUGCCCUAUGGGUGUUAAACUUCGUUUAUAAAGGAAUAAAACGAGGCACGUGUGCGUUUUUGCAUGUACUUUAUGAAUAAGGAUCGGCUAACUCCGUGCCAGCAGACGCGGUAAUACGGGGGAUCCGGGCGAUACCCGGAUUUGUGGGGUUUAAAGGGUGCGUAGGCGGAUUGUUAAGUCAGCGGUAAAAGCCCGGGGCUCAACCCCGGCGAGCCGUUGAAACUGGAUGUCUUGAGAUGUCGAGAGGUAUGUGGAAUGCGAAGUGUAGCGGUGAAAUGCGCAGAGAUUGCGCAGAACUCCGAUUGCGAAGGCAGCAUACCGGCGGCGAUCUGACGCUGAGGUACGAAAGCGUGGGUAUCGAACAGGAUUAGAUACCCUUGUAGUC